rnacentral:rRNA from 1 species
AGAGUUUGAUCCUGGCUCAGAUUGAACGCUGGCGGCAUGCCUUACACAUGCAAGUCGAACGGCAGCACGGGUGCUUGCACCUGGUGGCGAGUGGCGAACGGGUGAGUAAUAUAUCGGAACGUACCUUAUCGUGGGGGAUAACGCAGCGAAAGCUGCGCUAAUACCGCAUACGCCCUGAGGGGGAAAGCGGGGGACCGUAAGGCCUCGCGCGAUUAGAGCGGCCGAUAUCUGAUUAGCUUGUUGGUGGGGUAAAAGCCCACCAAGGCGACGAUCAGUAGCUGGUCUGAGAGGACGAUCAGCCACACUGGGACUGAGACACGGCCCAGACUCCUACGGGAGGCAGCAGUGGGGAAUUUUGGACAAUGGGGGCAACCCUGAUCCAGCAAUGCCGCGUGAGUGAAGAAGGCCUUCGGGUUGUAAAGCUCUUUUGUCAGGGAAGAAACAGCAGCUCUAACACAGUCUGCGAAUGACGGUACCUGAAGAAUAAGCACCGGCUAACUACGUGCCAGCAGCCGCGGUACUACGUAGGGUGCAAGCGUUAAUCGGAAUUACUGGGCGUAAAGCGUGCGCAGGCGGUUAUACAAGACAGGCGUGAAAUCCCCGGG